AUACGGAGGGUGCGAGCGUUAAUCGGAAUUACGGGGCGUAAAGCGUACGUAGGCGGUUGGUUAAGUUAGAUGUGAAAGCCCCGGGCUUAACCUGGGAACUGCAUUUAAAACUGGCGAACUAGAAUUGAGUAGAGGGGAGUGGAAUUUCAGGUGUAGCGGUGAAAUGCGUAGAGAUCUGAAGGAACACCAGUGGCGAAGGCGACUCCCUGGACUCGAACUGACGCUGAGGUACGAAAGCGUGGGUAGCAAACGGGAUUAGAAACCCUUGUAGUCC
rnacentral:rRNA from 1 species